UCCAAAGCACCAUAAAACCCUCCUCCCUUGUCAAUUUAUUUUGAAGCGCUAAAGAUAAAAGCCACUCUUGCAUAUUCGCCCAUGGCCUCGAACCCACCUGCGUUAAAAGACAACAAUCUUUAACUAUAUUACACUGCAACAGAGUGUGCUCCGUUGUCUCAUUUGCCAAACCACAAGUAGGACAAAGUGAUGAAAUCUCGAUAUGGCGCCGUUGCAAGUUUGCACAGUAAGACAAUGUAUUGCCCACAACUCACCAUACAUGAUGCUGGAUCUUUUUUGGUAUCUUUGCUCGCCAAAUGAUAGACCAUACAUCUACUUUAACCAUACCCAUCCCAUUUGCCAUCUCUAUAGCCACCCUAUGUCUGCUUUUCAUUGAAUACUUACCAUGAUGCUCAUGUGACCAGAUCCAGGAAUCAGCUUUAAGAGUGAGCGACAAAGGGAUCUACAAAAUUAAAUCAACAUUAUGAGGUAAGAAAAUAUCACGAACCAAGUCUUCCUUCCAUCGUAAAGGAGAUUCCACCGUGAGAGACGAAACUGUAGUAGCUUCCCAACCCUCAGGAACAGAUGAAAUAACUUGAGGAUUAGAGUUGUCCAUUAGCCAUGGCUGAUGGAAAGUAAGAGUAGACCCGCCAUUUCCAAUACAUCGACAGCAUCCAUUCUGUAAAAUAUAUCGAGAAUUCCAUAUACUUCUCCAUAAAUAAGAAGGAUUUCGACUUAACUCCGCAUGUAAAAAAUCCGUCUCAGGGAAGUAUCUAACCUUUAAAGUGGUGGCGGCCAAAGAAUGUGACGAUUGCAUGAGCCUCCACCCUUGCUUGCCGAGUAAAGCCAUGUUAAUAAAUUGUCAUAAAUUGUCACUUUUAUUCUUAAUAUUUUUGGUAUUUUUGAGUUUUUUUCAAGCUUAAAUCAGUUGGUUGAACAAUUUUUAUCAAUUAAACAUGAUCUAAGUUAUUUUUUUGAAUAAUACCAUUUAAUUGAGGAAUUUUCAGCAUUGUUAAUAUUUUGACCAUUGUUUGCUUCUUCAGGCAUAACUGAAUGUAUAGAAGUUCAAAUUGAUUGAUUUGUGAUUUGUUGGAAAGAUAGAAAGGAGCUCUACAAAUUUCUAAAGGAGGCAAGAUUCAAUUCAGCUUUGAAAUUCAUCAAAAAGAGCUCUGAAUCUAGAACAAAUGUCAUGAAUGAACAUGCAUGAACGAGUUUUAUUGUUUAAGACAUAUCUGGAGCUCCAAGAGUCAAAAUUAGCUCAGCCCAGGCCCAUUUGAAUCUUAGAAGAUGGCCCUACAGUCGCUGUGAAGACAACUAAAUGAAGUGAGGUCGUUUUGAUUGUCAAAAAUGCCAUAAAAGAUCACGUUUUUAGCAGAAAUAUCUGCUUCAUGAUUUGGUUUUUAAGUCGUAUCUUCUGCUGUGAGUGUCCGUUUUGGGCGAGCCUUAGUUCGUUAGAAAGGUGAGAAGGAGAUCUACAAGUUUGUUGAAGAAGUCAGAAUCAGAUUCGAAAAGGAAUUUGCUGAAAAAUGGGAGAGAAAUCAAAACAAUAAAGAUUUCUGUUGACUGUUUUUUAUUUUCCCAAGUGAUUAGAGAUUCUUUGGGUCUUUUGAGAGGCUAUAUAUAGUUGCAAUUCUGGAGCAGCAGACGCACGCUUUUCUUCCCACAUAGUUCACCAUCUAAUUUGAGAGUUUGUUUAGUUUUCUUUUGUUUUAGUGAUUGAAAGGCAUGAAUAUGAGUGACUAAUUUCUUAGUUCAGUUCAAGGCAUUCAAUUUCCA
rnacentral:lncRNA from 1 species